rnacentral:rRNA from 1 species
UACGUAGGGGGCUAGCGUUGUCCGGAAUCAUUGGGCGUAAAGAGCGUGUAGGCGGCCCGGUAAGUCCGCUGUAAAAGUCAAAGGCUCAACCUUUGAAUGUCAGUGGAUACUGCCGGGCUAGAGUCCGGAAGAGGCGAGUGGAACUCCUGGUGUAGCGGUGGAAUGCGCAGAUAUCAGGAGGAACACCUGUGGCGAAAGCGGCUCACUGGACCACAACUGACGCUGAGGCGCGAAAGCUAGGGGAGCAAACAGG